GGAGGGCAGAAUACCUGGUGUAGCGGUGGAAUGCGUAGAUAUCAGGAGGAAGGCCUGUGGCGAAGGCGGCCCUCUGGCACUGCACUGACGCUGAGGCGCGAAAGCGUGGGUAGCAAACAGGAUUAGAUACCCUGGUAGUCCACGCCCUAAACGGUGGGCAUUAGGUGUAGGGCUCGUUAGGGUUCUGUGCCGAAGGGAAACCAUUAAAUGCCCCGCCUGGGGAAUACGGCCGCAAGGUUGAAACUCAAAGGAAUUGACGGGGGCCCGCACAAGCGGUGGAGCAUGUGGUUUAAUUCGACGCUACGUGAAGAACCUUACCUGGGUUUGACAUGUUAGUGGUAAGAGCCUGAAAGGGUGAUGAUCCUGACGAAAGUCUGGAAGCUAACACAGGUGCUGCAUGGCUGUCGUCAGCUCGUGCCGUGAGGUGUUGGGUUAAGUCCCGCAACGAGCGCAACCCUUAUUCUCUGUUGCCCGAAGAAAUUCGGAGCUCUCUGAGGAAACUGCCAGCGAUGAGCUGGAGGAAGGUGGGGACGACGUCAAGUCAUCAUGGCCCUUACAUCCAGGGCGACACACGUGCUACAAUGGCCGCUACAGAGGGUCGCAAUACCGCGAGGUGGAGCCAAUCCCUAAAAGCGGUCUCAGUUGGGAUCGGAGUCUGCAACUCGACUCCGU
rnacentral:rRNA from 1 species